GCCUGGGUGGCUCAGUCGGUUGAGCGUCUGACUUCAGCUCAGGUCACGAUCUCACGGUCUGUGAGUUCGAGCCCUGCGUCAGGCU
rnacentral:tRNA from 1 species